rnacentral:tRNA from 1 species
GGAGAGGUGGCUGAGUGGUUGAAAGCACCGCACUCGAAAUGCGGCAUGGGGCAACUCCAUCGGGGUUCGAAUCCCUCCCUCUCCGCCA